rnacentral:rRNA from 1 species
AGGACCUCAGAUCGGACAAGACCACCCGCUGAGUUUAAGCAUAUCACUAAG